CACGUAGGCGGACUGGAAAGUCAGAGGUGAAAUCCCAGGGCUCAACCUUGGAACUGCCUUUGAAACUCCCGGUCUUGAGGUCGAGAGAGGUGAGUGGAAUUCCGAGUGUAGAGGUGAAAUUCGUAGAUAUUCGGAGGAACACCAGUGGCGAAGGCGGCUCACUGGCUCGAUACUGACGCUGAGGUGCGAAAGCGUGGGGAGCAAACAGGAUUAGAUACCCUUGUA
rnacentral:rRNA from 1 species